rnacentral:rRNA from 1 species
GUAGCCUGCGAAAAGCUUCGGGGAGCUGGCAAACAAGCUUUGAUCCGGAGAUGUCCGAAUGGGGAAACCCGGCCCGUAUGGGUCAUCCCUGACUGAAUCCAUAGGUCAGGGAAGCGAACGCGGCGAACUGAAACAUCUAAGUAGCUGCAGGAACAGAAAUCAACCGAGAUUCCCAAAGUAGUGGCGAACGAAAUGGGAAGAGCCUUGCACUCUUUAGCAGGACUGUUAGCAAAACGGGAUGGAAAGCCCGGCCAUAGCAGGUGAUAGCCCUGUAUGCGAAAACAGACUUGUGGAACUAGGUGUGCGACAAGUAGGGCGGGACACGUGAAAUCCUGUCUGAAGAUGGGGGGACCAUCCUCCAAGGCUAAAUACUCGUGAUCGACCGAUAGU